rnacentral:rRNA from 2 species
GGCGCAAGCCUGAUCCAGCAAUGCCGCGUGCAGGACGAAGGCCUUCGGGUUGUAAACUGCUUUUGUACGGAGCGAAAAGGCUCUCUCUAAUACAGGGGGCUCAUGACGGUACCGUAAGAAUAAGCACCGGCUAACUACGUGCCAGCAGCCGCGGUAAUACGUAGGGUGCAAGCGUUAAUCGGAAUUACUGGGCGUAAAGCGUGCGCAGGCGGUUAUGUAAGACAGAGGUGAAAUCCCCGGGCUCAACCUGGGAACUGCCUUUGUGACUGCAUAGCUAGAGUACGGCAGAGGGGGAUGGAAUUCCGCGUGUAGCACUGAAAUGCGUAGAUAUGCGAAGGAACACCGAUGGCGAAGGCAAUCCCCUGGGCCUGUACUGACGCUCAUGCACGAAAGCGUGGGGAGCAAACAGGAUUAGAUACCCUGGUAGUCCACGCCCUAAACGAUGUCAACUGGUUGUUGGGUCUUCACUGACUCACUAACGAAGCUAACGCGUGAAGUUGACCGCCUGGGGAGUACGGCCGCAAGGUUGAAACUCAUAGG